UACGAAGGGGGCUAGCGUUGCUCGGAAUUACUGGGCGUAAAGGGAGCGUAGGCGGACAUUUAAGUCAGGGGUGAAAUCCCAGAGCUCAACUCUGGAACUGCCUUUGAUACUGGAUGUCUUGAGUGUGAGAGAGGUAUGUGGAACUCCGAGUGUAGAGGUGAAAUUCGUAGAUAUUCGGAAGAACACCAGUGGCGAAGGCGACAUACUGGCUCAUUACUGACGCUGAGGCGCGAAAGCGUGGGGAGCAAACAGG
rnacentral:rRNA from 1 species